rnacentral:rRNA from 1 species
UACGGAGGAGGCAAGCGUUAUCCGGAAUUAUUGGGCGUAAAGCGUCCGUAGGUGGUUUAGUAAGUCUGCUGUUAAAGCGCGGGGCUUAACUCCGUAUCGGCAGUGGAAACUACUAGACUAGAGUGUGGUAGGGGUAGAGGGAAUUCCCAGUGUAGCGGUGAAAUGCGUAGAUAUUGGGAAGAACACCGGUGGCGAAGGCGCUCUACUGGGCCAUAACCGACACUGAUGGACGAAAGCUAGGGGAGCGAAAGGG